rnacentral:rRNA from 1 species
UACGGAGGGUGCGAGCGUUGUCCGGAAUCACUGGGCGUAAAGGGCGCGUAGGCGGCCUGAUAAGUAGGGGGUGAAAUCCUGCGGCUUAACCGCAGGGCUGCCUUCUAAACUGUCAGGCUAGAGCACAGUAGAGGCAGGUGGAAUUCCCGGUGUAGCGGUGGAAUGCGUAGAGAUCGGGAAGAACAUCAGUGGCGAAGGCGGCCUGCUGGGCUGUUGCUGACGCUGAGGCGCGACAGCUAGGGGAGCAAACAGG